rnacentral:rRNA from 1 species
CGAAGGGUGCAAGCGUUACUCGGAAUUACUGGGCGUAAAGGGCGCGCAGGCGGUUGGUCGCGUCGGGCGUGAAAGCCCCCCGCUUAACGGGGGAGGGUCGUCCGAAACGGGCCAACUGGAGGCAGGGAGAGGUCGGUGGAAUUCCCGGUGUAGUGGUGAAAUGCGUAGAUAUCGGGAGGAACACCAGUGGCGAAGGCGGCCGACUGGACCUGACCUGACGCUGAGGCGCGAAGGCGUGGGGAGCGAACGGG